AUUGAACGCUGGCGGCAUGCUUUACACAUGCAAGUCGAACGGCAGCGCGGGCUUCGGCCUGGCGGCGAGUGGCGAACGGGUGAGUAAUGCAUCGGAACGUGCCCUGUCGUGGGGGAUAGCCCGGCGAAAGCCGGAUUAAUACCGCAUACGACCUGAGGGUGAAAGCGGGGGACCGAAAGGCCUCGCGCCAUUGGAGCGGCCGAUGUCGGAUUAGCUAGUUGGUGGGGUAAAGGCUUACCAAGGCGACGAUCCGUAGCUGGUCUGAGAGGACGACCAGCCACACUGGGACUGAGGCACGGCCCAGACUCCGACGGGAGGCAGCAGUGGGGAAUUUUGGGCGAUGGGGGCAACCCUGAUCCAGCCAUGCCGCGUGCGGGAAGAAGGCCUUCGGGUUGUAAACCGCUUUUGUUCGGGAAGAAAUCCUCUGGGCUAAUACCCCGGGGGGAUGACGGUACCGGAAGAAUAAGCACCGGCUAACUACGUG
rnacentral:rRNA from 1 species